rnacentral:snoRNA from 1 species
AUUCCAUGAUGGGGACAAUCUAAAAUGUAUUCAUAGUAACGCUCCCAUGCAUCCGGAAUGGUUUCUCUCUUUUGUUGUUGAAAAUUGGUAAUCUUUCCUCUUAAUU